rnacentral:rRNA from 1 species
GCACGGAAGUUAGCCGGGGUCUUCUUUACUGGGUACAGUCAUUAUCUUCCCCAGCGAAAGAGCUUUACAACCCUAAGGCCUUCAUCGCUCACGCGGCAUGGCUAGAUCAGGCUUGCGCCCAUUGUCUAAGAUUCCCCA